GGCCGUAUAUCUCGAAGGCAGAGCACUCCUCUCUAACUAAGGAGAAGAUCCAGGUUCAAGUCUUGGUGGGGUCG